ACUCCUGCGGGAGGCAGCAGUGGGGAAUAUUGGACAAUGGGCGCAAGCCUGAUCCAGCCAUGCCGCGUGAGUGAUGAAGGCCCUAGGGUUGUAAAGCUCUUUCACCGGUGAAGAUAAUGACGGUAACCGGAGAAGAAGCCCUGGCUAACUUCGUGCCAGCAGCCGCGGUAAUACGAAGGGGGCUAGCGUUGUUCGGAUUUACUGGGCGUAAAGCGCACGUAGGCGGACUAUUAAGUCAGGGGUGAAAUCCCGGGGCUCAACCCCGGAACUGCCUUUGAUACUGGUAGUCUUGAGUUCGAGAGAGGUGAGUGGAAUUCCGAGUGUAGAGGUGAAAUUCGUAGAUAUUCGGAGGAACACCAGUGGCGAAGGCGGCUCACUGGCUCGAUACUGACGCUGAGGUGCGAAAGCGUGGGGAGCAAACAGGAUUAGAAACCCGGGUAGUCCCA
rnacentral:rRNA from 1 species